rnacentral:rRNA from 1 species
AAAGGAAUAGACGGGGGCCCGCACAAGCGGAGGAACAUGUGGUUUAAUUCGAUGAUACGCGAGGAACCUUACCCGGGCUUGAAAGUUAGCGACGGACUGCGAAAGCGGUCUUCCCUUCGGGGCGCGAAACUAGGUGCUGCAUGGUUGUCGUCAGCUCGUGCCGUGAGGUGUCGGGUUAAGUCCCAUAACGAGCGCAACCCCUACUGUUAGUUACCAGCGAGUAAUGUCGGGCACUCUAGCAGGACUGCCGGUGUAAGCCGAGAGGAAGGUGGGGAUGACGUCAAAUCAGCACGGCCCUUACGUCCGGGGCGACACACGUGUUACAAUGGUCGGUACAGAGGGCCGCUACCUGGUGACAGGAUGCAAAUCUCGAAAGCCGAUCUCAGUUCGGAUUGGAGGCUGAAACUCGCCUCCAUGAAGUUGGAUUCGCUAGUAAUCGCGCAUCAGCCAUGGCGCGGUGAAUACGUUCCCGGGCCUUGUACACACCGCCCGU